AUAUGGUGUCAGAAAGUGGGACCUGAAGCAAUCUCACCUUUGUGGACCAGCGGCCCCUGGAAAUGAGUUUGGUACCAACAUGAGUCCCCUUGUGAGCUCAUGGCUUCCACAGACCACCAGCUCCUCCAAUCAUGAGUCUUCUCAGACCAUCCCCGAUUCCUAAGACUGAAGGGAAAAAAAGGAACUUUUGGAGAUGCAGACUGCUAUGGAAGCAUCCUUGCCCAAAAAUAUAAGAGAGAUUCAUGGAAAGGACUUUGACACUUACUCUAGAAUACAGAUUUCUGAUAAACUUUCAGAUCAUAAAACCGAACUGGUAAGAAAUUACAAAACUCUAAUGGAGAGACUGAUGGCUUCAUAAAACUGCUAACAAAAGAUCAAGAGCAAAUAUUAAUUAGUGGACCUACAUGAACUGAGGAGGAUGCUGUAAUGUUUUAUUUUUCCAGAUUUAAAGAAAUCUUUUCUCUUAAACUAUCAACAUUUGGUAAGAUACACCUUUGUGAACAAGGAUGAAACAUUUACUUUUUCUCCCUACCCGCUCCCUCCAGAAUUCAGAACUCUCACUUAAAGAAGCUUUCCUGGAUUCCAAUUCAAAGGAUCCUGUUGGUGACAGCUAGAGCCUGGUGACUGGGUAUUCUGAAAGUGACAUCAGAAGAAGACAGCCCAUGAACCCCCUUGGAAAGGACCUACCAAGUGCUCUGACCACUGACACUGCUGCAGAACUAGAAGGCAUUGAACUUUGGAGACACAUCUCAUAGCUAAAGAAGGCUCCAUCUGACAUCUGGUCCUGUACAAACACUGCAGUCUUCCAAAUCAAAUCGACUAGGAAGAGAAGUGACCAAUAUCUGAGGCAGACAACUUUCCCCAGAUGGCUGGACUAGGCCUGUGCAACUUUUACUCACUGCUGCGUCUUACCUUAUUUUCUCCCUCUCUUUCUUGGAAAGACAGUACUCUUAUCCCCAACUCCCAAUCUGUUACAAAAGGGGGGAGUCUUUCUGACUGUUAGUUUUGUCAUCAGAAGCCUCACUUUAUACGUGAAUCUAGAGAUCCUUUAGUACAUUUAAUUACCAAUCUCUCUGUCAUUCCUCCCCUAAUUCCUUGUGCCAACUGUCCAGAACUUCUCGCCUAACCAAUCAAAACUCCAGAGAUUUAAGAAGUAACAUUUGUAAUUGUUGUAAAUAUCUCUUAUACUUGCGUAAACACCUCUGGUAAGUAAAAACUGAGCUAGAUAAAAUGUGGGCACAGGCCAAAUGGUUAAAUGCAGUGCCCACUGACAUCUCAUAGUUCUUUGAUUUCUUUAGCUGGCUGUCCUCAGGAAUUGACUUCUGGUUCAGAUCUAUUCUCCAAUUUGGACUUAGCAUUUUGUUUAUUAUUAUAGGAAUUCUCACUGUUAUAAAACUUUGUAUCUUCUGCAUAGCUGGAUGUUACAAAAACACCACACAGAUAAUGGUCACUCGGCACUUUAAAAUGAUUUCUGAGGCUUAUGAGCCUUCACCUGAGAAACUUUAAGGAACUACAGACAAUGUUUGCCUUCUCUGCUCUGGCACUCUUCUUGCUUAAAUGUGGCCUAAGUGCUCCUAAGGGAACCAGUUUCCCUCUUACGUGAAACAUGACAUACCAGGAUUGAGCAUUCCUGGUGACGAAGGAUCAAUGAUGCUUUGAUGGCUGAUCAACAAUGCUUUCCAAUAGCUGAUCAGCAAGGCUUUCAAAUGGUUAGUUAAUGAUGCUUUCAAAGAAAAAUCUCCAUCAAAAGGGGGAAAUGUCAAAUUGACUUUAGUGGAGCCAUUUUAAAAUGUAGUGGGAGUUGCCUUUCCAGAGAAACUGCCUUGCUGUCUUGAACCUUGGACUGGGCCAAGCCUUUGGACUGGGCCAAACUAGCAACUGUUUUACAAGCUAUUGUUUGAGAAGUCAGCAGAAGAACAGAUACCCUGAUCACAAAGACUGAGGAUUGUGGACUUGCUAAAGAUAGAAUCAACAGUCAACCAAUAUUUAGUCAAGACCAGCUCUCUGUCUCCAACUCCAAUUAAAAUUCUUUAUAAUACAACCUCCCCUCUUUGCCUUUAAAAGCCCCUGACUUUUAGUCCCUAGUGGGACACUAUUUGGGUUUCUACCUGAAUCUGUGCUCCCUGAAUUGCAAUUCUUUGAUCCCAUGUAAAUGCUGUGCCUCUUAAACUGAUUUCUGUUUUUGUAGGUUGACAGAUUUAUUGAU